UACGAAGGGGGCGAGCGUUGCUCGGAAUCACUGGGCGUAAAGCGCACGUAGGCGGAUUGCUAAGUCAGGGGUGAAAUCCUGGAGCUCAACUCCAGAACUGCCUUUGAUACUGGCGGCCUUGAGUCCGGGAGAGGUGAGUGGAACUGCGAGUGUAGAGGUGAAAUUCUUAGAUAUGACAUAGAACACCAAUUGCGAAGGCAGCUUACUACACAGUUAUUGACGCUGAGGCACGAAAGCGUGGGGAUCAAACAGG
rnacentral:rRNA from 1 species